GUCCACCAUAGAAGCAGAAGAACAAGAAGUGCCAACUAGAUCUCCUCUACAAACUGGCAUCUGAUUAUCGGUGGAAACCAAACCCAGAGAUGAAUUUGCAAUAUUGGCGCCGCUAAAUCGCCAGUCUGAGGGCACACUACCAGGUAAAUGGUAGUUUAUAUGAUUUUCACUCCUCUUCUCUAGAUCAAAUUUAUCCUUGUCACCCAUUUCCAUCUCUU
rnacentral:misc_RNA from 1 species